AAGACUAUAGACCUGCGGAGUACCUGCGGAAGGAUCAUUAUCGUAUUGUAACAAUUGGGGGGGCCACCGUGGGCUGUCGCUGACCCUUUGAAAGGGGGGUCGUGCACGCCCCCAUAGUGUCAUCCUCAUACAAUCCAACUCACCUCUGUGCAUCACCGCGUGGGUUCCUUUCUGGGUCGAGUCAGACUGGCUCAGAAAAAAGGGGCUUGCGUUUUCCAUACAAAUACCCUUAUAAAACCA
rnacentral:misc_RNA from 1 species